rnacentral:tRNA from 1 species
GGUUAUGGCUCAGUGGUAGAGCAUUUUCCUGGCACGUGUUGAGGCACUGGGUUCGAUUCUCAGCACCA